rnacentral:rRNA from 1 species
AUUGAACGCUGGCGGCAGGCUUAACACAUGCAAGUCGAGCGGGGUGAUGGUGCUUGCACUAUCACUUAGCGGCGGACGGGUGAGUAAUGCUUAGGAAUCUGCCUAUUAGUGGGAGACAACAUCUCGAAAGGGAUGCUAAUACCGCAUACGUCCUACGGGAGAAAGCAGGGGAUCACUUGUGACCUUGCGCUAAUAGAUGAGCAUAAGUCGGAUUAGCUAGUUGGUUGGGUAAAGGCCUACCAAGGCGACGAUCUGUAGCGGGUCUGAGAGGAUGAUCCGCCACACUGGGACUGAGACACGGCCCAGACUCCUACGGGAGGCAGCAGUGGGGAAUAUUGGACAAUGGGGGGAACCCUGAUCCAGCCAUGCCGCGUGUGUGAAGAAGGCCUUAUGGUUGUAAAGCACUUUAAGCGAGGAGGAGGCUCUUUUGGUUAAUACCCAAGAUGAGUGGACGUUACUCGCAGAAUAAGCACCGGCUAACUCUGUGCCAGCAGCCGCCGUAA